rnacentral:lncRNA from 10 species
CUAAUGUCUUCAGAUAAAUUGAUGUCAGAGCUUCCACAAUAGUCUGUUGUCAAUUUAGAGUAUGGGUAGCUUUGCAUGUUAGGGCCAAAUGAUCUCAGAUGUAAUUAGUUAAUAGAACUGUGGGUGAUCAGAAGUUAAGGAUCUUGAGAUGGAGAGAAUGAGCUGGAAGUAUCCAGGUGGGCCCAAUGCCCAACGUAAUCACAAGAGUCCUUAUAAAAGAGAGUCAGGAAAGUGGUGACAGGAGACGUGAGGAUAGAAGCAGGAGGUUGAUGAGGUGAGCCAAGCAGGCAGCCAGUCUCCAGAGGCUGAAGAAGUCAGGGAAGCGGAUUCUGCCCUCAGAGCUCCCAGAGGCAGCCACCCUGCCAACAACACCUGGGCUUUAGCCUCCUGAGACUGAUUUUGGACUUCUCAUCUCCAGAAUUACGGAUUCUCACUCUGCUGCCAGUCUGGAGAGUAGUGGCACCAUCUCGGUUCACUGCAAUCUCCACCUCCCAGGUUCAAGCGAUUCUCCUGCCUCAGC